UACGUAGGGUGCAAGCGUUGUCCGGAAUUAUUGGACGUAAAGAGCUCGUAGGCGGUUUGUUGCGUCGGCUGUGAAAUCCCGAGGCUCAACCUCGGGUCUGCAGUCGAUACGAGCAAACUAGAGUGUUGCAGGGGAGAGUGGAAUUCCUGGUGUAGCGGUGAAAUGCGUAGAUAUCAAGAGGAACACCUGAGGUGAAGACGGGUUGCUGGGCCGACACUGACGCUGGAGUGCGCGAAAGCCAGGGGAGCAAACGGG
rnacentral:rRNA from 1 species